rnacentral:rRNA from 1 species
GAUGAACGCUGGCGGCGUGCCCAAUACAUGCAAGUCGAGCGAACAGACGAGGAGCUUGCUCCUCUGACGUUAGCGGCGGACGGGUGAGUAACACGUGGAUAACCUACCUAUAAGACUGGGAUAACUUCGGGAAACCGGAGCUAACACCGGAUAUUAUAUUGAACCGCAUGGUUCAAUAGUGAAAGACGGUUUUGCUGUCACUUAGAGGUGGAUCCGCGCCGCAUUAGCUAGUUGGUAAGGUAACGGCUUACCAAGGCAACGAUGCGUAGCCGACCUGAGAGGGUGAUCGGCCACACUGGAACUGAGACACGGUCCAGACUCCUACGGGAGGCAGCAGUAGGGAAUAUUCCACAAUGGGCGAAAGCCUGACGGAGCAACGCCGCGUGAGUGAUGAAGGUCUUCGGAUCGUAAAGCUCUGUUAUUAGGGAAGAACAGCAGUGUAAGUAACUAUGCACGUCUUGACGGUACCUACUCAGAAAGCCCCGGCUAACUACGUG